rnacentral:rRNA from 1 species
CAACCUACCCUAUGGAGGGGGAUAACCCCGGGAAACUGGGGAUAAUACCCCAUAGACUAUGAAUGCUGGAAUGCCCUGUAGUUGAAAGGUCCGCCGCCUCAGGAUGGGUCUGCGGCCGAUUAGGUUGUUGUUGGGGUAACGGCCCAACAAGCCUUUGAUCGGUACGGGUUGUGGGAGCAAGAGCCCGGAGAUGGAUUCUGAGACACGAAUCCAGGCCCUACGGGGCGCAGCAGGCGCGAAAACUUUACAAUGCGAGAAAUCGUGAUAAGGGAACCCCGAGUGCCCGUAAAUUCGGGCUGUCCAUCAGUGCAAAAAACUGGUGAAGAAAGAGCCGGGCAAGACCGGUGCCAGCCGCCGCGGUAAUACCGGCGGCUCGAGUGGUGGCCACUUUUAUUGUGCUUAAAGCGUCCGUAGCUUGGUUGUUAAGUCUUCUGGGAAAUCCAUCGGCUUAACCGAUGGGAGUUCAAGAGAUACUGGCAACCUAGGGACCGGGAGAGGUGAGAGGUACUCCAGGGGUAGGAGUGAAAUCCUGUAAUCCUUGGGGGACCACCUGUGGCGAAGGCGUCUCACCAGAACGGCUCCGACAGUGAGGGACGAAAGCUGGGGGAGCAAACCGGAUUAGAUACCCGGGUAGUCCCAGCUGUAAACGAUGCGCGUUAGGUGUAUCGGUGACCACGAGUCACCGAGGUGCCGAAGGGAAACCGUGAAACGUGCCGCCUGGGAAGUACGGUCGCAAGGCUGAAACUUAA